AUGGGAUCGAACAUCGGUUGGAUCCUAUUCGACCUGCGCGUGCAUCAAGGAGCCGCGGCUUUGCUAAAGCGAAAUUAUCAACGGUGUCAGGUUACAAUUGCACUCUAUGUGCUUUACAAGUCAUGGUCGGCAGAUGACAAGCGGUUGUUGGCUGCAACAAUUCUGCUCUUCGUCCUAGUGAUUAUCAGAUCCUUCCAGAAGGCACUAGAUCUUAAGAGCAGCAGCUUUGAUGCCCUGCGGCAGGCCAGCUUGACCGAGGAGCACGUCAUUCGGGGCAGCGCUGUCACGGAGGAAGGAAGUCUUGCCAACUUUAUAAUAGAAGCAAAACAAUUCAUAGAUGGGAGGGUAGAGCGGCGAUCAUGCGAAGAAGACCAACAAGACCUCCCAGGGCUAUCGUACCAGCUCUUUUUGGACUUCCCAAGUCCCUAUCCUGAGCGUGUCAAAAUCUUGAAGAAAUUCUGGCCGCUCGACCCCGGAUCAGCUUAUGAAGCAACAGGGCGCGCGCUGUGUGCUAUGACCAGCUUCCUCUACACCAAAGAUGACAGCGCGCUCUUAGCUAUGAUCAGCUUCAUCCGCACCGGGGGUUAUCACCGACCACUUGUUGAUUUCAAGAAUGCGCUACCAUCAUUCAUCUGCCGUCGGCGGACGCACGCACUAGCUUAUGCAACGCUAGUGGCAGCCAUCUGCCUGGUGCACACGAGUAGCCACAGCAAAGCUCAUAGCGGUGAAGAUACCCGGGUUACACUUGUGCUCUUGUACGGUGCUCUCGUGCGGGAAUGCGUACAAGCAGUUAGACCGGACGGCUUCUCCGGCGUAAUUCUCCAACACGGUAUUAUAGGACAGUUAGCCAAUAACAGAUGGCGCCCCAACAUGUUGAUGCUGAGGAGGGUCGCCGGAAGGUUUAACUGCAAGGAUUUGGUGGACCAAUACUUUACCUACAUGGAAUCUAGCCAUUCGUGUGAGGAGAUUACAGAAUUGGUCCGCCAGCAUGUUGAAUCGGGGUGGAAGUACAUACAUGACAAUGAGACUUACAGGAGGUUUAAUGAUGCCAGGGGCGAAUGGACGCUCGGCCGUAAGAAAUGUCUCCCGAGACUGGGUUGGAGCAUAAAGAGGCCAUUUGACGAGACCAUUAUUCUCUGGCACCUCGCCACUGAUUUAUGCUUCCAGUAUAUGGACAGGUCUCGUGAUGAUGGUCAUUGUGCCAGCCGCUGCAAAGUAAUAUCCAACUACAUGAUGCAUCUCUUGGUAGCUAAUCCUGAGAUGCUAAUGCCAGGCAGCAGAAAGAGCUUGUUCACAAAGGCCUACCACGAGCUCAAGAACAUCAGCACCGAACCCCAGGACGAGAUAGAGUUUAUACAAGCGGCAGUUCACAAAUGCAACCAAGGCUAUAGUGACAAAUCUUUUAUUCAGGACGCGUGGGAGCUCGCUGAAUUCUUGUUGGGUGAUGAACUUGGUGGUGAAGUCACCAGGAGGUGGGAGCUGAUCCAAGACGUGUGGGUGGAGAUGCUCUGUUUUUCUGCAGGCAGGUGCCGAGGAUACUUGCACGCCCAGACUCUGGGAGGUGGUGUGGAGUACCUCUCCUAUGUCUGGGUCCUGCUGACAUACGCCGGGAUGGAGACAUUUCCGGAGAAGCUUCAGAGGAGGGAGGGUCAGACGGUUGACGGCUACUACGAGUCUUUGGCUCCUCGUGGAAGAGAAGACCCUGCUGCUGCUACUACAUCUGCUUCUGAAACUGAAGACUAUGUAUGA
rnacentral:rRNA from 1 species